GCAAGACUGGAGGACCAACUUGCAGAAAUUCCAUGCACCGAAAAAGAGCUCUUAGCAGAAUUUUGGCAGAGAGUGCAGCCAGUAAUGAAGGGAUAGAUGCACCUAGCACUGUAGAUUUUGAAGAGACAGAGGGCUUCUCUCUACAGGAUCCUGGACCAUUAGUGCUUCAUCGUGGGUCACAGUGCAACAUCAGAUGUCUGCAAUGCUCAUCAGUUUUCCUUGGACUAGGGUGGCCCCUAAAUCAUGGCUGCAGCUGUCGCCCUGGUCCUGCUACGCCGUGCAGUUCCCUGCUACGUCCUGUAACGCCCUGCUACGCCAUGAACUACUGCAACUACUAUUUAUAGUCGUAGUUCAAUUAUCUUUAUCGUGACUAUUAUUGCCACUGUUUAUCACACCCCCAACCGGCACCGUCAGAGCCGCCUACCAAGAGCCU